rnacentral:rRNA from 1 species
AUUGAACGCUGGCGGCAGGCCUAACACAUGCAAGUCGAGCGGAUGAAGGGAGCUUGCUCCUGGAUUCAGCGGCGGACGGGUGAGUAAUGCCUAGGAAUCUGCCUGGUAGUGGGGGAUAACGUCCGGAAACGGGCGCUAAUACCGCAUACGUCCUGAGGGAGAAAGUGGGGGAUCUUCGGACCUCACGCUAUCAGAUGAGCCUAGGUCGGAUUAGCUAGUUGGUGGGGUAAAGGCCUACCAAGGCGACGAUCCGUAACUGGUCUGAGAGGAUGAUCAGUCACACUGGAACUGAGACGCGGUCCAGACUCCUACGGGAGGCAGCAGUGGGGAAUAUUGGACAAUGGGCGAAAGCCUGAUCCAGCCAUGCCGCGUGUGUGAAGAAGGUCUUCGGAUUGUAAAGCACUUUAAGUUGGGAGGAAGGGCAGUAAGUUAAUACCUUGCUGUUGUGACGGUACCAACAGAAUAAGCACCGGCUAACUUCGUG